UUUUUUUAAAGCAUUGGGAAAUGUUGUUCACGCUGUUUACAUUGGGUGGAAUGAAGGAGAGCUUCAGAUUAAUUUUCUUAUGCUGAUUUAGCCUAUGCAUUUAGAUUAAUUCUAAUUANUGUCACGGUCCAAUUGCAAAUGUUGAUUCAAUUUCAGGCACACACGUUGUUACUCUUUUAAUUCUAGAAGCACGGUUUUCUUUACUUUUCCUAGGAUAAAACGCUGUUUUGAUUUCCUUUGCUUGGAGAAUAAAGUGAAGCUUAUCUUCUUCUUUUGAUUGCUUUCUUAGUUACGUUGUUCAUGCACUUUUAUUUUAUUGAAUUUUGAUUCCUUAUCCUAUCAUGAGUCCUGCACCACGUCUAGCAUUGAAGAGCAAUUUUUAAUCUUUUAUUUAGUAUUAGGUGUACUUGUUUUUAUUAUUUUAGCUUUUAACGUAUUUUUUUGGAAUGAAGGCUGGAAGAGAUUCAUGCUAGUUUCCUUGGAUGAAAGAGGGUGCAGCCGCCACCUAACCCAUAGGAGGGGUUUUAUUUUCAUUAACAUAGAAAUUGGAACACACGCUNGCACUUUUGGCAUUGGGUAUUUUAUUUUAGCUGGAUGCUAGCAUAAGGCAAUGAUUCGUUUUUAUACUUUUAGAAUUAAUCCCGGUCUAUUUUUACUGUUGCAUUUAGUGUUUAAGUUCAUUUGGUGCAUUUCAAUUAGACUGUUGUUAUGUUUUCUACUCGUUUACUGUUCCAACGUUUAGUUUUCAAAUCCUAAUGAAUUCUGCAUUUUCU
rnacentral:lncRNA from 1 species